rnacentral:piRNA from 1 species
UGCAAUGUCACUGGUCCUUGAGAUGUCCU